GCCCCCGUAGCUCAGUUGGUAGAGCGCAGGUCUGAAGCACCUGGCGCCGCAAGUUCGAUCCUUGCCGGAGGCACCA
rnacentral:tRNA from 1 species